CGGGACUGGAACCGGCACUUGGCACCCCUUACGCCUUACGGUGGCCGCUGCGCCCAGUCACAUCUAUUGCAUUUCUCUGGAAUGACCACAGCAAUAUUUCCAGCCCUUGAUGAUCUUCUAGAACUUUGCCACUUCCCUGCAUCAAGAGGAACCAUUUUCUGGGUAGACAUGAAUACUUUAAAAACCAAGCAUUUAUACACCAAUAACAGACAAACAGAGAGCCAAAUCAUGAGUGAACUCCCAUUCACAAUUGCUUCAA
rnacentral:lncRNA from 1 species